AUUGAACGCUGGCGGCAUGCCUUACACAUGCAAGUCGAACGAGAACGGAUUAUAGCUUGCUAUAAUUGUCAGCUAAGUGGCGCACGGGUGAGUAAUAUAUAGAUAACCUGCCCUCUAGAAAGGAAUAACAGUUGGAAACGACUGCUAAUGCCCUAUAUGCCUUUAAUACAUAAGUAUGCAAGGGAAACGCUUUAGUGCUAGAGGAUGGGUCUGUAUGGUAUCAGCUUGUUGGUGAGGUAAUGGCUCACCAAGGCUAUGACGCCUAACUGGUUUGAGAGGAUGAUCAGUCACACUGGAACUGAGACACGGUCCAGACUCCUACGGGAGGCAGCAGUGGGGAAUAUUGCACAAUGGACGAAAGUCUGAUGCAGCAACGCCGCGUGGAGGAUGACACAUUUCGGUGCGUAAACUCCUUUUAUAUAGGAAGAUAAUGACGGUACUAUAUGAAUAAG
rnacentral:rRNA from 1 species